rnacentral:rRNA from 1 species
CCUUAAUUACCUUGCCAAGUAGAACGCUGAAGAGAGGAGCUUGCUCUUCUUGGAUGAGUUGCGAACGGGUGAGUAACGCGUAGGUAACCUGCCUUGUAGCGGGGGAUAACUAUUGGAAACGAUAGCUAAUACCGCAUAACAAUGGAUGACACAUGUCAUUUAUUUGAAAGGGGCAAUUGCUCCACUACAAGAUGGACCUGCGUUGUAUUAGCUAGUAGGUGAGGUAACGGCUCACCUAGGCGACGAUACAUAGCCGACCUGAGAGGGUGAUCGGCCACACUGGGACUGAGACACGGCCCAGACUCCUACGGGAGGCAGCAGUAGGGAAUCUUCGGCAAUGGGGGCAACCCUGACCGAGCAACGCCGCGUGAGUGAAGAAGGUUUUCGGAUCGUAAAGCUCUGUUGUAAGUCAAGAACGAGUGUGAGAGUGGAAAGUUCACACUGUGACGGUAGCUUACCAGAAAGGGACGGCUAACUACGUGCCAGCAGCCGCGGUAAUACGUAGGUCCCGAGCGUUGUCCGGAUUUAUUGGGCGUAAAGCGAGCGCAGGCGGUUUGAUAAGUCUGAAGUUAAAGGCUGUGGCUCAACCAUAGUUCGCUUUGGAAACUGUCAAACUUGAGUGCAGAAGGGGAGAGUGGAAUUCCAUGUGUAGCGGUGAAAUGCGUAGAUAUAUGGAGGAACACCGGUGGCGAAAGCGGCUCUCUGGUCUGUAACUGACGCUGAGGCUCGAAAGCGUGGGGAGCGAACAGGAUUAGAUACCCUGGUAGUCCACGCCGUAAACGAUGAGUGCUAGGUGUUGGAUCCUUUCCGGGAUUCAGUGCCGCAGCUAACGCAUUAAGCACUCCGCCUGGGGAGUACGACCGCAAGGUUGAAACUCAAAGGAAUUGACGGGGGCCCGCACAAGCGGUGGAGCAUGUGGUUUAAUUCGAAGCAACGCGAAGAACCUUACCAGGUCUUGACAUCCCGAUGCUAUUUCUAGAGAUAGAAAGUUACUUCGGUACAUCGGUGACAGGUGGUGCAUGGUUGUCGUCAGCUCGUGUCGUGAGAUGUUGGGUUAAGUCCCGCAACGAGCGCAACCCCUAUUGUUAGUUGCCAUCAUUCAGUUGGGCACUCUAGCGAGACUGCCGGUAAUAAACCGGAGGAAGGUGGGGAUGACGUCAAAUCAUCAUGCCCCUUAUGACCUGGGCUACACACGUGCUACAAUGGUUGGUACAACGAGUUGCGAGUCGGUGACGGCAAGCUAAUCUCUUAAAGCCAAUCUCAGUUCGGAUUGUAGGCUGCAACUCGCCUACAUGAAGUCGGAAUCGCUAGUAAUCGCGGAUCAGCACGCCGCGGUGAAUACGUUCCCGGGCCUUGUACACACCGCCCGUCACACCACGAGAGUUUGUAACACCCGAAGUCGGUGAGGUAACCUUUUGGAGCCAGCCCGCCCCUAAAGGGGGGGA